rnacentral:rRNA from 1 species
GAUGAACGCUGGCGGCGUGCCUAAUACAUGCAAGUCGAGCGAACGGACGAGAAGCUUGCUUCUCUGAUGUUAGCGGCGGACGGGUGAGUAACACGUGGAUAACCUACCUAUAAGACUGGGAUAACUUCGGGAAACCGGAGCUAAUACCGGAUAAUAUUUUGAACCGCAUGGUUCAAAAGUGAAAGACGGUCUUGCUGUCACUUAUAGAUGGAUCCGCGCUGCAUUAGCUAGUUGGUAAGGUAACGGCUUACCAAGGCAACGAUGCAUAGCCGACCUGAGAGGGUGAUCGGCCACACUGGAACUGAGACACGGUCCAGACUCCUACGGGAGGCAGCAGUAGGGAAUCUUCCGCAAUGGGCGAAAGCCUGACGGAGCAACGCCGCGUGAGUGAUGAAGGUCUUCGGAUCGUAAAACUCUGUUAUUAGGGAAGAACAUAUGUGUAGGUAACUGUGCACAUCUUGACGGUACCUAAUCAGAAAGCCACGGCUAACUACGUGCCAGCAGCCGCGGUAAUACGUAGGUGGCAAGCGUUAUCCGGAAUUAUUGGGCGUAAAGCGCGCGUAGGCGGUUUUUUAAGUCUGAUGUGAAAGCCCACGGCUCAACCGUGGAGGGUCAUUGGAAACUGGAAAACUUGAGUGCAGAAGAGGAAAGUGGAAUUCCAUGUGUAGCGGUGAAAUGCGCAGAGAUAUGGAGGAACACCAGUGGCGAAGGCGACUUUCUGGUCUGUAACUGACGCUGAUGUGCGAAAGCGUGGGGAUCAAACAGGAUUAGAUACCCUGGUAGUCCACGCCGUAAACGAUGAGUGCUAAGUGUUAGGGGGUUUCCGCCCCUUAGUGCUGCAGCUAACGCAUUAAGCACUCCGCCUGGGGAGUACGACCGCAAGGUUGAAACUCAAAGGAAUUGACGGGGACCCGCACAAGCGGUGGAGCAUGUGGUUUAAUUCGAAGCAACGCGAAGAACCUUACCAAAUCUUGACAUCCUUUGACAACUCUAGAGAUAGAGCCUUCCCCUUCGGGGGACAAAGUGACAGGUGGUGCAUGGUUGUCGUCAGCUCGUGUCGUGAGAUGUUGGGUUAAGUCCCGCAACGAGCGCAACCCUUAAGCUUAGUUGUCAUCAUUAAGUUGGGCACUCUAAGUUGACUGCCGGUGACAAACCGGAGGAAGGUGGGGAUGACGUCAAAUCAUCAUGCCCCUUAUGAUUUGGGCUACACACGUGCUACAAUGGACAAUACAAAGGGCAGCGAAACCGCGAGGUCAAGCAAAUCCCAUAAAGUUGUUCUCAGUUCGGAUUGUAGUCUGCAACUCGACUACAUGAAGCUGGAAUCGCUAGUAAUCGUAGAUCAGCAUGCUACGGUGAAUACGUUCCCGGGUCU